rnacentral:rRNA from 1 species
ACGGCUCAUUUGGUACUCCGCAAGGAGUAUUGGAUGAACAGUGGCAAACGGGUGCGUAACACCUUGGUAACCUGCCCCGAAGCGGGGGAUAACUUGCCGAAAGGCGAGCUAAUACCCCAUGUGAUCCUGCCACCUCGUGUGGUGGGAUGAACGGAUUGUUUAAAAGCAAUUCGCUUUGGGAGGGGCCUAGGCCCUAUCAGCUUGUUGGUGAGGUAACGGCUCACCAAGGCUAUGACGGGUAGGGGGCGUGAGAGCGCGACCCCCCUCAGUGGGACUGAGAUACUGCCCACACUCCUACGGGAGGCUGCAGUCAAGAAUAUUCCUCAAUGGGCGAAAGCCUGAAGGAGCGACGCCGCGUGCAGGAAGAAGCUCUUCGGAGUGUAAACUGCUUUUCUCCGUGAAGAACUCAUGACGGUAACGGAGGAAUAAGGGGCUGCUAACCUCGUGCCAGCAGCCGCGGUAAGACGAGGGCCCCAAGCGUUAUCCGGAUUUACUGGGCGUAAAGAGCUCAAAGGCGGCUCUGAUAAGUCUUGUGUUAAAUCUUCUCGCUCAACGGGAAGGCUGCGCAAGAUACUGCAGAACUUGAGGGUGGAAGAGGCAAGCGGAACGCACGGUGGAGUAGUGAAAUGCGUUGAUAUCGUGUGGAACACCGAAUGCGAAGGCAGCUUGCUAGUACACCCCUGACGCUACACGAGCGAAAGCGUGGGGAGCGAAAAGGA